rnacentral:rRNA from 1 species
CACGUAGGGCGCGAGCGUUUGUCCGGAAUUAUUGGGCGUAAAGAGCUUGUAGGCGGUUUGUCGCGUCUGCCGUGAAAAUUCGAGGCUCAACCUCGAACUUGCGGUGGGUACGGGCAGACUAGAGUGUGGUAGGGGAGACGUGGAAUUCCUGGUGUAGCGGUGGAAUGCGCAGAUAUCAGGAGGAACACCGAUGGCGAAGGCAGGUCACUGGGCCGCAACUGACGCUGAGGAGCGAAAGCAUGGGGAGCGAACAGG